CUUGAAUGACUCAGAGGGUACUGAGAAUAUUUCUUGAGCAACAGUUUCUUGUUGGGGAAUAUUAUUUUAAGUUGUGUGACUUUUGAUUAUGCUGCAUUUGUUUAAUUCUGGAAAACUGUGUUACUGUGCCUGUCCAAAACACCCGGUGGUCCUAAUAAAGAGGUGAAUGGCCAAUAGCAAGAGAAGGACAUCAGGGGCCAGCCAUCCAGCCAUCCAGCCAUCCAGCCAUCCAGCCACCCAGCCACUCAGCCACCCAGCAACCACAGAAAAAAGGAAGAAUGACCAUGAAACUAAUUUGCUGCUCCACCGUAACCGUCCCAAGUGUCAAGCCAGCCACAGGACACUUUCUGCUGAGCUGCUGUUUCUUCAUGAUGUUGGCAAACCCUCGGGAUGCCAUAGGGUCCAC
rnacentral:lncRNA from 1 species